rnacentral:rRNA from 1 species
GAUGAACGCUGGCGGCGUGCUUAACACAUGCAAGUCGAACGAAGCACUUUAUUUGAUUUCCUUCGGGACUGAUUAUUUUGUGACUGAGUGGCGGACGGGUGAGUAACGCGUGGGUAACCUGCCUUGUACAGGGGGAUAACAGUUGGAAACGGCUGCUAAUACCGCAUAAGCGCACGGCAUCGCAUGAUGCAGUGUGAAAAACUCCGGUGGUAUAAGAUGGACCCGCGUUGGAUUAGCUAGUUGGUGGGGUAACGGCCCACCAAGGCGACGAUCCAUAGCCGACCUGAGAGGGUGACCGGCCACAUUGGGACUGAGACACGGCCCAAACUCCUACGGGAGGCAGCAGUGGGGAAUAUUGCACAAUGGGCGAAAGCCUGAUGCAGCGACGCCGCGUGAGCGAAGAAGUAUUUCGGUAUGUAAAGCUCUAUCAGCAGGGAAGAUAAUGACGG